rnacentral:lncRNA from 1 species
ACUCUAAUAAAAACAGUCAGGCAUGCCAAUUUUAGAUUAAAUGGUAGUGUGAAUGAAAUGACAUUCCUAGUUCAUGAAUGUGUUCUUAAAUUAUAUAUUUGAAUAACAAUUCAUAAUUUCAUAUUUCAAUUUGGGAUUCUUGAUUUGUCCCAAAAUCCCGAAAAUAUUUCGGGAUUCCCGAAAUUUGGGAUUCCCGAAAAUUUGGUUUGGAAUUGGUCUUUAAAUUCCCGUCCCGAAAAUUUUCGGUUUAGGAUUCGGGAUACUAGUUUCGGUAUCCCCUAGUAACAAAGGCAAUGAGUGUAUGCCCAAGUGGGAGAAUUGACAAACAAAUAAUUGAGCUUCACACUCAUUGAAUCUAAGUCACACAUGCUUAGUUCCAAAAGAUCUGUGGGAGUUGUUCUUAUGCUAAUAUAUGUUUGUAAAGUUUUGAGUAUGAAACUUAGUUUUAUAUUUGCAUAUUUCUCCUUAGAAUUUUAAAGUCAAGUUUGUGGAAAUAAGAUGCAUGCUAUAAUUGAAAUUUUCUAGAUUUUAUUAGGAUUGUCCAGUUUUCAAUCCUAUAAUUGUUCCACUAUUUGUUUUUGAAUUUGUAUGCAUGUAUGACAGUAUUCUCAUGUUUUAACACUCGUACCAUACAUGAUUAAUACUAUUUGGUUAAGUUCUUGUAAAGACAAUUGCAUUUAAGUUGUUUGGUACAUACUAUUUGGAGGUAAUGACUGAAAGAAUUGACAUGAAGUUAUACUUGCUAAACGAAUUUGGCUUAACAUAUUCAUUGUUGUAUAAUAUGAUUAAAUGUAAGGUGCAAGAACAUGUUUUUUGAUGAUUAUAUGCAUCUAGUUGUGGUAUUUGUUUCUCGAAUUCAAUAUAAGAUAUAAUUGAUUAGUGGGAGGAACAAUUUAAAUGUGUGGCUUAUGUCAUAAGGGAUGUUUAGCUAAUUAUGUUGAUAUGUGCCUCACUUGUUUGAUUUAUGAAUGUGGGUUUAAAUUUCAGUUCUUAUAUAUAUAGUUGAAAUUGUGGCUGGUUAUGACUAGUCGAAUGAGGAUACAAGUUGGCAUUACACAUUCAUAUAAGGCUGUUUUGAUUUACUAAGCCGUGAAGGUUUUAUGCAGUUGUUAGUUAGUUUAGUUUGCAAUUCAUGACAAUAAGGAAGCACCAAAAUUUACAAGCUGCAUUAAGGUAUGGAUUUAAUCUUUAGUUUAUGUUGUGAAUUCCAUAAAGUAGUGAAGGUGUAUUUUUUAGGUGCGUUCUAAGUACUAGGAGGUUUGAGUUUUGUACUUAGGUUUUGUAAUUCAGAACACAUAAAGUAGCAACGAACGUCUUAAACUGCAAAAGAGUUGUGUCAUCAAUUUUGUUAGACACAAAAGUAAGUUGGUUCUGCAGUUUAUGAGCUUCAUAGGAAGCAUAAGGCAAUCUUAUAAAAAUUGAUAAGGAGGACCAAUAAGUGAAUGAAUUGAUGCUUUCAAUUCAGGUUUUGAUUCACUUAACUACCAAAUCUGUGACGUAUGUUUCAUGUGAAUGGAGAGCUUAUUUCAGUGAUUAUAAGAGCUCAUGGAUACUACAAGUUUAUAGUCUCCGAUAAUUCUAGAUAAGUAAACUCCAUUUGACAGAACAUGUAAGAAGCUUAUUAGCUGACUAAAUUCAUUGGCCAAUAAAGUAAUCUUGCUUAUAAAUCCAUUAAAGAUCUUUUUUGAGUUAAUUGUUUGACCUAGUGGGAGAAUGUUGGACGUUGGACCAUAAUCCAACGGUUUAUAGGUCUACACAGUUAAUAUAAGGAAUGCUUAGAAUAUAAAUGUUGGAACCCCAUUUGAUCCACAUCGGCUAGAGGGAAAAGGAGAAAGCACUUUAAAUAGAGUUACCCCACUCUAACUAAUACCGAUGCCUUUUGUGAUAAAACUCCACACCUAAUGGAUUAGGCAGGUGGUAAAGUGGGGAUAAUAUCGGUGUUGUU